rnacentral:rRNA from 1 species
UACGAAGGGUGCAAGCGUUACUCGGAAUUUACUGGGCGUAAAGCGUGCGUAGGUGGUUUGUUAAGUCUGUUUGUGAAAGCCCCGGGCUCAACCUGGGAAUGGCAAUGGAUACUGGCAAGCUAGAGUGCGGUAGAGGGUAGUGGAAUUCCCGGUGUAGCGGUGAAAUGCGCAGAUAUCAGGAGGAACACCGAUGGCGAAGGCAGCUCGCUGGGACGGUACUGACGCUGAGGCGCGAAAGCGUGGGGAGCAAACAGG